rnacentral:rRNA from 1 species
UACGAAGGGGACUAGCGUUGUUCGGAAUUACUGGGCGUAAAGCGCACGUAGGCGGCUACUCAAGUCAGAGGUGAAAGCCCAGGGCUCAACCUUGGAACUGCCUUUGAAACUAGGUAGCUAGAAUUCUGGAGAGGUCAGUGGAAUUCCGAGUGUAGAGGUGAAAUUCGUAGAUAUUCGGAAGAACACCAGUGGCGAAGGCGACUGACUGGACAGAUAUUGACGCUGAGGUGCGAAAGCGUGGGGAGCAAACAGG